GAGAUUGAUGCAACUGAAACAAGACUUUUUCGAAAUGAUGAAGCAGUUGUUUGGGAUUAAAUUGUUUGGGAUUAUUUGUAUUCUUUUAGACAAUUUUGUUUGGGAUUAUUUGUAUUCUUUUAGACAAUUUUGUUUGGGAUUAAUUUGUUGUUUUGCUUUAGAAUUUUAAGAUGCACUUGUUUGAAAAGUCAGGUUAAAUAAACAAAAUCAGGUUGACCCAUUUCUGAAUAUAACAACCUGAUUUACACCCAAAAUAAAAGUUUCAGGUCAAAUAAGGUCAUAUUCGGGUUGACCCGAACCCGAAAGUAUCAGGUUCAGGUUGGGUUUUUCAACCUGAAAGCUUAAAUGGGUCAGGUUCGGGUUGGGGGGUGGCUGACCCGAAAUCAGCUGACCCGAACACGAACCUGACCCGACCUGAUCUGUUUGACAGCCCUAGUAGUAUUCAUGUUAAAAAGGAAAGGGGGAAAAUAAAAGAAAAAGAAAAGAAAAGAAAAGAAGGAAAACUACGUUAUAGUGGUUCUUCCAUCUUCAUUCUCACUAUCAAACACUCACAAUCUUCAUCACACAAGAACGCUACCAUCUUCAACCUCUCUAUCUUUCCGGCGCCUCAACUACAACACAAGCUUUCUUCACCAUUAAUCUUCCAUAGUAGUGGAUUCCGGUUUCAUUGAGGAGCCGUAUUGACUGCUUGACAUAGUUGAUUUGCUAUAUUUCAAAAGGUACAUGAAGAUUUGCAUGUGGGGUGUGGGCUGAGAGCAAUGUUCCACUAACUUAGUUGAAAUAUAGUAGUUCUAUUUCCGCUGCACUAUAUAUAUAUAUAUCAUCAUUUUGGAACUUAAGGCUGUAAAUAUUAAUUUACUUAAACCUUUACACGCUGGGAUUGUAAUAGUUCAAUUUAGUUGUUGCUUUAACAUUAAUUCAGUUAGGUAGUUAUCCUUAUCGGUUGUUCCUGCAAUAAUCGUGGAAUAACACUCUUGGAUUUUGGAUACUUAUGCAUGGAUGUAUUAAUUUUUGAGCUGGAUAAGGAUCUUGGAGAACUUGGUUUGCUGGAUUAUUGAUACAGGUUUAUAAUUUGGACGCGAGUCCUAAAUGAAUUUUAGGCAGUCCAUAUUUCAGACGGAGCUCUGACCGAAUUUUCUGUAGAAUUUUGAUAUUAUUUAAUUUAAUUAGCAACUCAA